ACGGCUCAGUAACACGUCGGUAACCUGCCCUAUGGUCGAGCAUAACCUCGGGAAACUGAGGGUAAUUCUCGAUAGAUGAUUUCACCUGGAAUGGUAUUUCAUCCAAACACGUGCCAUAGGAUGGGCCGGCGGCUGAUUAGGCUGUUGGUGGGGUAACGGCCCACCAAACCAAAGAUCAGUACGGGCCUUGAGAGAGGUAGCCCGGAGAGGGACACUGAGAUACGGGUCCCAGCCCCACGGGGUGCAGCAGGCGCGAAACCUUUACAAUGCACGAAAGUGUGAUAGGGGGAUACUCAGUGCUUACGCUUAUGGUGUAGGCUUUUGUCGAUCGUAAAUAGAUCGGCGAAUAAGUGGUGGGCAAGACCGGUGCCAGCCGCCGCGGUAACCCCGGCGCCACAAGUGGUUAUCACGAUUAUUGGGCCUAAAGCGUUCGUAGCCGGUCUGGUAAAUCUCUUGUGAAAUUGUUCGGCUUAACCGGACAGCGUGCAGGAGACACUACCAGGCUCGAGACCGGGAGGGGUUAGAAGUAUUCCAUGGGGACUGGUAAAAUGGGAUAAUCCAUGGAAGACUACCGAUGGCGAAGGCAUCUAACCGGAACGGAUCUGACGGUGAGGAACGAAAGCCAGGGGAGCGAACCGGAUUAGAUACCCGAGUAGUCCUGGCCGUAAACGCUGUGAGCUAGGUGCCGCGUAUCUCACGAAGAUGCGCGGUGUCGAAAUGAAGAUGCUAAGCUCACCGCCUGGGAAGUACGGUCGCAAGACUGAAACUUUAAGGAAUUGGCGGGGGAGCAC
rnacentral:rRNA from 1 species